GUUUAAGCAGCCGCGGUAAUACAGAGGGUGCGAGCGUUAAUCGGAAUUACUGGGCGUAAAGGGUGCGUAGGUGGUUAUUUAAGUCAGAUGUGAAAGCCCUGGGCUUAACCUAGGAAUUGCAUUUGAUACUGAGUAGCUAGAGUACGGUAGAGGGAAGUGGAAUUUCCGGUGUAGCGGUGAAAUGCGUAGAUAUCGGAAGGAACAUCAGUGGCGAAGGCGGCUUCCUGGACUGAUACUGACACUGAGGCACGAAAGCAUGGGGAGCAAACAGGAUUAGAUACCCGAGUAGUCC
rnacentral:rRNA from 1 species